rnacentral:rRNA from 1 species
UACGUAGGGUGCAAGCGUUGUCCGGAAUCAUUGGGCGUAAAGCGCGCGUAGGUGGCUUCGUAAGUCCGUUGUGAAAGUCAAAGGCUCAACCUUUUGAAUGCCGAUGGAUACUGCGGAGCUAGAGUACGGAAGAGGCGAGUGGAAUUCCUGGUGUAGCGGUGGAAUGCGCAGAUAUCAGGAGGAACACCAAUAGCGAAGGCAGCUCGCUGGGACGUUACUGACACUAAGGCGCGAAAGCGUGGGGAGCGAACAGG